rnacentral:rRNA from 1 species
CCUACGGGAGGCAGCAGUGGGGAAUCUUGCGCAAUGGGCGAAAGCCUGACGCAGCGACGCCGCGUGAGCGAUGAAGGCCUUCGGGUUGUAAAGCUCUGUGGGGAGGAAAGAAUAAGGGUUGGCUAAUAUCCAGCUCGAUGACGGUACCUCCUUAGCAAGCACCGGCUAACUCUGUGCCAGCAGCCGCGGUAAGACAGAGGGUGCAAACGUUGUUCGGAAUUACUGGGCGUAAAGCGCGUGUAGGCGGCCCUGCAAGUCGGGUGUGAAAUCCCACGGCUCAACCGUGGAAGUGCACUCGAAACUGCAGGGCUAGAGUCCUGGAGAGGAAGGUGGAAUGCUUGGUGUAGAGGUGAAAUUCGUAGAUAUCAAGCGGAACACCGGUGGCGAAGGCGGCCUUCUGGACAGUGACUGACGCUGAGACGCGAAAGCGUGGGGAGCAA